AACGAAUGCUGGCGGCAUGCCUAACAUAUGCAAGUCGAACGAGACCUUCGGGUCUAGUGGCGCACGGGUGCGUAACGCGUGGGAACCUGCCCUUAGGUUCGGAAUAACUCCCCGAAAGGGGUGCUAAUACCGGAUAAUGUCUUCGGACCAAAGAUUUAUCGCCUUUGGAUGGGCCCGCGUUGGAUUAGCUAGUUGGUAGGGUAAAAGCCUACCAAGGCGACGAUCCAUAGCUGGUCUGAGAGGAUGAUCAGCCACACUGGGACUGAGACACGGCCCAGACUCCUACGGGAGGCAGCAGUGGGGAAUAUUGGACAAUGGGCGAAAGCCUGAUCCAGCAAUGCCGCGUGAGUGAUGAAGGCCUUAGGGUUGUAAAGCUCUUUUACCCGGGAUGAUAAUGACAGUACCGGGAGAAUAAGCUCCGGCUAACUCCGUG
rnacentral:rRNA from 1 species